rnacentral:lncRNA from 1 species
CUUCCUCAUCCACUGCCCUGGGCUUUGGCUCAGGUGGUGGCCACGGGCCGAACGGCAGGAGGGCAUGAUGGGCCUGAGGACUCCUGGGUCCCCGACCAUGUUCCCAGCAGCACUUGAGUUAAACAGGUGGGAGGGGAAAAGGAGCAGCCCCCUCUCCCCACAGAUGAGCUAGAGUAGAGGGGCUGAGAGCUUGGAAGCCCCCAAGACUGGUUCUCAGCAAUAUUGCCAAGGGGCC